GCCACCGUUCAAAGGACGGGACACAACUUUGCGAAGGUUGAUGGAUGAGGUUCGAUUCCUCUCGGUGGCA
rnacentral:tRNA from 1 species